rnacentral:snRNA from 1 species
AGAGAGAAUUGGAACGAUACAGAGAAGAUUAGCAUGGCCCCUGUGCAAGGAUGACAUGCAAAUUCGUGAAGCAUUCAUAUUUUUU